rnacentral:hammerhead_ribozyme from 1 species
AGACAUAUGAUGAGUCCCAAAUAGGACGAAAUGCGCGUUCUGGAU